rnacentral:lncRNA from 1 species
GAGGUCAUCGCCAUGUCACCAGUGCAGCUGCAUCUUGUGACACACAGGCUGAAGGUUCACGGGAGAGUGGCACUGGGACCAGCGAAUUGCAUCCAUCUACAGCUGGCAUAGAGGCUUCCUGUCAAGUGCAGAUCUGCAAAUGCAGCUCUCCUACUAUGUGGCGCACUAUUGCAACUCAGGCUGCCAUUAUCA